AGAGGGUGCGAGCGUUGUUCGGAAUUACUGGGCGUAAAGCGCGCGCAGGCGGCCUUUUAAGUCUGACGGUGAAAUGCCGGGGCUCAACCCCGUGCCCGCCGCGGAUACUGGGAGGCUGGAGACACGUAGAGGCAAGCGGAAUUCCGGGUGUAGCGGUGGAAUGCGUAGAGAUCCGGAAGAACACCGGAGGCGAAGGCGGCUUGCUGGGCGUAGUCUGACGCUGAGGCGCGAAAGCGUGGGGAGCGAACAGGAUUAGAUACCCUGGUAGUCCACGCCGUAAACGAUGGGCACUAGACGCUGGGGGGAUCGACCCCUUCGGUGUCGCAGCUUACGCGAUAAGUGCCCCGCCUGGGGAGUACGGCCGCAAGGYUG
rnacentral:rRNA from 1 species